UGUGGUGGUGAUGGCAAGAAGGAUACACCUGUAACCAUGCCGAACACAGCAGUUAAGCUUCUUAGCGCCGAGGGUAGUGAAGGGUUUCUCUUUGUGAGAGUAGGACGCUGCCACGC
rfam:Vagococcus penaei strain CD276, complete genome.